rnacentral:rRNA from 1 species
AUUAGAUCUCAAAUCAGGCAGGAUUACCCGCUGAACUUAAGCAUAUCAAUAAGCGGAGGA